rnacentral:lncRNA from 1 species
GCAGAUAACAAUAACUGCCAUGAUCCUGUUCCACUUCCUGUAGCGGAUUCCACACGGCUCCACCUCCCCCUACGACAGGUGCUGCACGAUCCCACUACCCUCUGACAGGCUGUGUCGACAGCUAUGAUGCUGCUCCGCUCCCUACGGCAGGUGCUGCACGAUCCCACUACUCGUUGACAACUAACAGUAACGGACGCCGCUCCACUUCCUGCAACAGGCCCUAUGUGGCGGGCCAUGAUGAUGGCCACGUGUAUGCUCCAUUAUCUUUCGCAAUCAAUUCCCCUGACCAUGGGCGGCCCAC